CUGCUACUGAAUUUGAAUUUCCAAACCUGCCAGUUUAGUUCGGCCUUGCUGUCUUCCUUUUUCAAACUGGGUUACAGCUUUGCAAUCAUUCCUUAUGCUGAAGAUCCGGUGGUAGUUAAAACUACUUGAAUUAAACAGAAUGCUUCCUUUGGUUCAAAAACAAACUGACACACCACUAAGUGACCAAUUAAUGUGUUUUUGAUAACUCAUACUGACAGGUGUCAUCUCUACAAGCGAUCUCUAGCCUUUAAUCAUCAGGAAGCAGAGACUGGAGGGGGUCCUAAUCAAUCUGAAUUUUAGCCAGGGUGGUGGGUGGUUCUCCUCCACUGUUCAAAAUAUCCUCAACACACGUGGUGCAGCUUGGGUUGUGUCCAAAAAUAUGAGCCUCUGAGAGAGACUGUACAAGUUCCCAGAGGAUGUACAGUGAGUUGGCUUGAAUGGGUCCAGCUAAAGCCUGCACUUUGGUCAACGAACAGUGGUCACAUUAACAGGUGAACCUUGUGUCCCCUUCUGCUUACUGAUCUGGUUAAAGGAAAACAUGGUUUGUGAACAGCUCUGUAUGAGGAUACAGAAAAUGCUGAGCUCACAGAGCACUUUCUAGCUGCUGAACCAUAGCCCUCACUGUGACAGGACCUGUGGUAGAGGCUAAAACAGAAAUCAUCACUGUGUAGGAGUGGUUUGAGACAUCAGUUCUGCUGAUACACAGUCUCUUGUCUCCCAUUCAUAUAAAUCUUCUCUGUGUACAGUAAACGUGACUGAGAACGAGAACUUAUUCUGUACUGUUCUGCACUUCUAAUUUUCCUGAGAAAAAUACAGUUACUGGAAAAAUGUAAACCCUACAAAAUGCUUAGGAAUCAAAAUAAUAGCUUUAAUAUGAACAGAUUGUGAUGGUGUAUACAUGCUGCACACAUCGGCAUGGGGAUAGGGGCUAAAAUACAGCCUUGUUAGAGUUGGGGUCCAAAGAGCAAAGAGGCCAAAAGUGAAGAAAAGCAGAUGUUCUUCCCUUUAGAAUAAAAGAAAAAAUACUGAAGGAUUGUCCUUCCACCAGAACUAUCGUUAAGGUUCGUUAGUUACUUUAACUCACUUAGAAUGCAGUUUAAAGACAAUCUGUAUCUGAUAUCACUCUGCCAGCUGAAGCAAAAGGUUUUCUUUUCCUUUCCUCCCUUUUCAGAAAAGGCAUUGCCAAGAGGGAAUGGCAGGAGUCAGGAGCCUGUUUACUUAUGCCAUGCCCCUUUCUCAUUAUCCCUUGUCUGUUUUCUGCACGCUGAACACUAUCUACAACUUUUAAUACUCAAUUUAAAUUGGUUUCAAAUAAGUGGCAGAGGAAUGCAUAAGCAGAGAUUUCUGUUUCAUGUCAGGGGAACAGAACAGCACAGAGAGCAUCUUGGUCAUCCUUUCUUUUAAGCUUGCGUAGUCUCCUGCUCAUAUGCUACCUUCAUUGAUCAGCACCUUUGAAAAAUGAGUCCAUUACUGUCUACACGAAAUGGUUCUAUGAACCAUUUUUAAAAAAGCAAUACAUCUACAAAAUUAACCCCUGGACAGCUUUCAAGGUUUUCGCCCUCUCACAAUAACACGGUCACACUUAGGAUAGGCACAGGAUAACAGGAAGAUCUGCAGUACCUAUGCUACUGAAAAGAUAACAGUGAUGAUAGCAUCACCAGGACUAAAUGUCACUAAGACAUGCAUUAAAUGCUGCUAUAUCCUUUGCUGUACGUACCCCACAUCAUGCAGUGAAUAGAGGGGCACUGUAAUGCUCCUCUUUCCCUCCCAGCAGCUCCAUCCUAGGAAAAAUUAUUAGGAUAACAGUUCUUCUGGGACAAGAUAGUUGCCUCCUAAAUCAACACUACUUCCUAAUGAACAGCUCUUGAGUUGGGCCUAGCUCUGCUUAAUUUAAAGUAGUUGUGUUGACAUAAUAUAUUUAGACUUCUGUAAUGUGUUUGACUUCAUACUGCACAACAUUCUGAUUAAAACAAUUAUCGCUAUACAAAAUCGGCGUUGCACAUAUUAAACGGCUCCCAAAGUGUCUCACUGAUGGCAUGUGGAAGGCAGCUCUAAGCCAGGAAUCAGCACCAGUUCCUCCGGGGUCUCCAUACAGACAACCCAGCAAAGUGCAGUGGGUGUAAAUUGGCACAAAAGUCCAAUUUCAAUAGCAGGUUAGGGUCAUGAGGCGGAUGGAGACCAUCCCACUGUUAGGAAAAUUUUGCUACAAUAAGCUCGCCCAAUCAUCCUUAUCCUAAAAAGAGACAGAGCAAAGUCUUCACCUUUAUUUAUUCAAAUAAAGGGAGAGUCUAGUGAGGGAUACCCCUGUGGGCCAUCUCCAAGUGCUAAGGGACACAGCCCCUCUUUUAUCCCUGCACCCCAAUGCUGCUGAGCCCUUACCCCAUAGGCUGACAUAGGCUCACAUUCUCCUCAGUUCACCUCCCGCAGCCCGCAGCUCACACCCUCCACCCCCACAGAUAACUCCGUUGUUUCCUGUCUUUAUACACACUUUGUAAUCUGGAUUCAGAGCUUGUUGUUUUGCCCAACUGGAACUAUCUUUGCAUCCUGUAAAAUCUAUCCCUCUUUGUUACGUCCACUAAACAAGAUUUACAUGCAGGUGCUAAGCUAGCAUCUUCUGUCGUGUAUCUGCAACGUAAGUUUGUUUAAUCAGAUCCUUGUGACCAAAAUGCUUCUUCUCAGCUUUAUCUUGUUUUGCAGGGACCCCCUAUCUUUCCUUUAUGCUUCCUAAAUAUCAGCUUCUUUUGCACAGACACCUCAUCCUUAUUCCUUCUGCACAACAAAGCCUAAAUUCGUAACUAAGGCCCAACUUUAGGCUUCCCAAGUAAGUGCUGUGUAAUAGAGAUGGACCAAUCAGACAGCGGCAGCCCCUGCUGCAAUCUGCACCUUUGUGCACCUGCGUGGGGCAGCUGUGGUUCCAGAAGGUUCUGGAAGGUUCUGCACAGCUCCAGCGGCUGCAAUCAGCACAAGCUGGGUCUGCAACCCCACCUCAGAGCAACUGUGGUCACUCAGCGCAGCCCCUCGAGGGGGAGAGAAUUUAAGAGAAGAAAAAGCCCUGCUUGGCAGUAAAAAACGAUGGGAAGAAGUGUGAGAAGCAGCGAUAUGAGCCCUAGAGGUGAGGGGGUGCUCGGAGCUCGUUAAUUUCAUUUUCUGCUUUGGCUGUCGCUGGAAGUUCCCUCCCCCAUCGCCGCACAGCGAUCUGAUCCGCUCGGCUCAAAGUAACCCAGCAGUCCGUCCGGCAGAAGGAAGAGGUUUGCACGUGCUCUGCUCGCAGCCCGUGUGAGGAAGCAGGCGGCCAGCAUUCAAUGCAGCUUGCUUUAAGUGUAGCCUCUCUAAUUGAAGAUACGGCCUCAUAGGUCUCGGGAACAAAGAAUUGACUUGCGUUGACUUGGAGCCAAACCGCAGCAAUUAGCAGCUGAAAGGAGGAGGAGAGCUGGGGGCGGACAACGGGAGCCAGCAGUUCAGGUUUGUUAUUUCCUUGGUUAUCUGAAGAAGUUGUCUGCAGUGUUACAAGUGGCCUGCUCAUACUGACUCACUGCAGCAUCACUUGGCCUUUCCAGCUCCCUGGGAUGAAAGCUUCUUGCACGGAAGUAUCAGUGUCAAUGCGCUGCACACCUGGGCCUUGAAUUAUUCCCUUUGGCUGAGUUGAAAGCAGGAGCAUGAGAGAGCGGGUCCUUGAUUUUUCUGAGGGCAAAGACAAUGAGGAGAUGGAGCAACAAGAGGACUUCUUUUUAAAUCUGUUGUGUGAAGAAAGGGCAGUGAAGGUCACCGUGCACUGGGAGGUGGAUGAGUGGAGUCCGGCCAGAGGCGUGGCAGCAGAGGACGAGCAUCCCGGUAGUUUUACAGCAGGAGCAAUGACCCUUGCUUUGUUUCUGCAGGUAAGAAGGUUGUACUGAAACCAGAAGGGACUGUUCUGAUUUACUAUUGCAGGAGAAAAAUGGAACUGUAUUGAACUGUGCAAAGUUACUGAGUAACAGUAAGACUGCAAUCCAGAAUGUGCGGUGUUAGAUGAGGCAGAAGGUUGAAAGGGCAAUGGAAAACUUCUACUCGACUCAAAAACCUUCAGCGUUUUCUCUCUCUUAACAAUUCCUUGCUUAUGAUUUAACUUUGUUCUAUUUCAAAUGCCACUUUUAAGGUACAAGGCACAGCAUUAGUUUAGGACAAUGAUCUCAACUGACAUCAAAGGAGGUGAUGCUCUUCUGCGGUGGCUUUCAGGUAAUGACCUUUUGCUCAGUUAAACCACAAGUGUCAAAUAUGCUUCUUCAUCCUUUACUUAUUACGAACCACAUAAAAGACCACCUCUGGAUUCAGUGUCUGAUAAAUCAUAGGCCAUUGGCAAAAAAUACAGAGCAGGAAUCCAUGGAGGUGGGGCUCAGGGAAAGCAAGCUGCAGUGGUUUGUACUCAAAUAUUUCCUUCUUGUGCUGCCCUCACUCCUACAGCUUCCUCUGUUCUCAGAUGCAGUAAAAAGCCUUUUCAGGGAUAUUCUAUCUUUAUGUCUCUGUCACUUUAGAUAACUUCCUAGAAGAUCUAAGGAAAAAAACCCAAACCACCAACUCAAGGAAUGUCAGAAAUUUGAUGCUGGUUUUGUGCUAGAAAAAGAAUUUCCAGACAAAGACACAAUAAUGUCGUAGUGCUAUGGUGACUAUUCUCUGCAAGAUUUUAAUUCUACCCAGCUUUCUGUUAGUUAUUCUGGUCUGGGUUCUGGCUGCUAUUUAUUAUUUCACCUGCUGGGCCCUUUGCCAAUAUCUAGGAUCAAUUGACAGCACGGGAAAGCACACAGAGCACCCCACUUCCUUCCUCAUAGAUUAUGAGAGCUCAGGCAAAAAUGAAAAUAGUUUCUUACAAACCUUAAGUCCUGCUACUAGGAAUGCAGCACCCUGAAGAUACAAACCUUGCAGAUGAGCAGCGCAAACUGUUGAGCAGCUUGGUCUGGAGGAGAGUGUGUUUGAAGGACACGAGGGCACUAAAUUGUGGACUGAGAUUUUAUGAGUCGAGGCAACAAGCAGACGACGUAUCUGUGUAGCUCUGCUACCACAGCACUUA